AGAAACACUACAAUAUUUUUUCCUAGUAACAAUACUCCUUCAUCAACUUAUAACAACAGUGUGUAACCUUGCACUCUCAAAAGACCGCUCAAAACACAUAAUUUCCAUCCAACACCAGAAAUAACAGACUUUACUCUAACCAAUCUAAAUUCACAUAAUUUCUGUAAUCACCAACUUUCUUUGUCCAAAACACACAUAGCUCUCAAUAAACAAUAAUCAUAAUCUUCUAAUAACUCCUCAUAUAAUUCAAUCACUCAGUGCUCGAAUUACAUUAUCAACAACUCAUAAAUCAAUCUCUGAUUUAUUUUUUAGACUCACUUCUCAGUAAUUAAAAACUAUCCAUUACUUUUUAAUAACAAAGAAACAAAGAGGUAGUACCAAGCUUAACCUCGGCUCAUGACUAUCACAGUGUGGCACUCCAACAAACUUCUACAACUCCUAUAUAAUUAUUCUUGAUUUCCAGAUUCUAAUCGUAAUCUUGUAAUUAAUCACUUUUAAUAACUAAAUCAAUCAUCUGUUUGCUUGAACUGACUAUUUUAUGAACUAUUAGUCUAUUUUACCAAUAUCUU
rnacentral:lncRNA from 1 species